UCUCUCUAUGAAGCGACGGUUUUCACAAGCGAGGAAAUGCGCCGCUUUUGUGCAAAGGCAGAGUUUGUUCCUUAUUCUAGGGAGCUGACUCUCCUCCCCUCCUAGUGUGCAGCAAUGUUAUUGCGAGUCAAACUUGUAAGCUAAUACCAGGAGAUAUGAAACUGGUUAGUCCCCACAUGUUGCACAUAAAAAGAAUUCAUAAUGAGCAUCUGUGGGAUGUGGAAUGGAUCCCAUGAGUUAGCUGAAGACCUCAUAACGUGAAAAAAUAUCUCUUCGAUGGAAAUUCAUUUCCAUUUACUUAAAGUUAAAUGGUUUGACUUUGAAUUUUCAUUAUCUGCUGUUGGAAGGAGCCUGUGACAGGUGAAGAAGAGUCUACGAGUGGGAAUAAAGCAAAAUAUUUUGACUUUUGAGAGACUCUAAACUCUUCAAACCUAUUGUUAUAACAGAUGAUGCUUGACAUUGCAAAUCAUUCUGUCUUUCUUUUACUUUUAAGUCCUGUAAUCUGUAAUAGACUCUGUACAUGCA